CAGUAUUGCACUGUCUCUCCCUACAAGCUUUAAACUUGGCUUGACUCAUUCCCAUAGAUAGGGGUACUGAUUGAUAGAGGUUUUGGGAUACUAUGUCAUGUUUCCAAGCUGAUAUUCACUUUGAAAACUGGUUCUCUUUAGGUGAAGAUUGUUUUUUUCAUGUUCUAGUUCUGUUCUCUUACACUGUACAAUACAUGUUCAUUCUGACACUUCUGCAGACAGCCCAUGAGUGUUGGCUUUCAUGUGAUACCAUUUCUAUGUGUAUGGUCCUUGUGGUUGUGGAGAUAUUCAACAUUUAGUGUUGGUAUGUCAUGUUGAGCAGGAAACCAACAAAUUGGCCUGAAAUUGCUUAAACACACACACACACACACACACACACACACACA